AACUGAUACUACCUGCGGGAACCUGCGGAAGGAUCAUUAUUGAAUUAUGUUUCUAAAUGGGUUGUAGCUGGCUCGUCAGAGCAUGUGCACGCCUGUUUGGACUUCAUUUUCAUCCACCUGUGCACCUAUUGUAGUCUUUGGUUGGGUAUCGAGGAAGUGGUCAGCCUAUCAGCACUUGCUGGAUGUGAGGACUUGCAGUGUGAAAGCUUUGCUGUCCUUUACUUGAUCAUGGAGCUGUCU
rnacentral:misc_RNA from 1 species